rnacentral:lncRNA from 1 species
CUGCAAGGUUUUCUUUCAUACACAUGUGCAAAAAAGCGCAAUCUCCGUCUACAAGCAUGCUUUGAAAAUGCAAAUCUAAAACGGGUAAAAGUCUUCCUUUCUUGUUAAUUAUUGAUCUGUAACCAACAUCUGACAAGAUUCACGCUGUGAGAUCCGGUUAAUAACGGAUAUCACGAUCCUUCAUUAGCCUUGAGUAAUCGUUUGCUAUAUCUCUGAGGUUCAAGAGCUCGUUUCGGGUCUGAGGAGCGUUAGAUUAUCACGCCCAUUUAUGAGCCCAUUGUUCAUCUUUCAUGAAUUUUGCUACGAAAGGCUUCCAGCCCCAAUUUAUCCUCGUAUGUUCGUGCCCUCCUUCUGUUUUCGUCACCGGAAAAUCGAGGUAUGCAUUACCCCGAUUUUCCCCCGCAUACAAAAAUCUUUCUUAUCAAACAAACGAGGAGGAAGCCUG